rnacentral:rRNA from 1 species
GGACCCGCACAAGCGGUGGAGCAUGUGGUUUAAUUCGACGCAACGCGAAGAACCUUACCAGGGCUUGACAUCCCCUGCUAUGCGUGGAAACACGCAGUUUGUACCUUCGGGUACGACAGGGAGACAGGUGGUGCAUGGUUGUCGUCAGCUCGUGUCGUGAGAUGUUGGGUUAAGUCCCGCAACGAGCGCAACCCCUAUUUCCAGUUGCCAGCACUUAGGGUGGGAACUCUGGAGAAACUGCCGGUGACAAACCGGAGGAAGGUGGGGAUGACGUCAAAUCAUCAUGCCCUUUAUGUCCUGGGCUACACACGUGCUACAAUGGCCGGUACAGAGGGCUGCGAAGCCGUGAGGUGGAGCGAAUCCCAAAAAGCCGGUCUCAGUUCGGAUUGCAGGCUGCAACUCGCCUGCAUGAAGUCGGAAUCGCUAGUAAUCGCGAGUCAGCAUAUCGCGGUGAAUACGUUCCCGGGUCUU